rnacentral:rRNA from 1 species
CAGUCGAACGGACUUUUCAUGAAGCCUAGCGAUUGAAAAGUUAGUGGCGGACGGGUGAGUAACGCGUGGGUAACCUGCCUUGUACUGGGGGACAACAGUUGGAAACGACUGCUAAUACCGCAUAAGCGCACAGCUUCGCAUGAAGCAGUGUGAAAAACUCCGGUGGUACAAGAUGGACCCGCGUCUGAUUAGCUGGUUGGUGAGGUAACGGCCCACCAAGGCGACGAUCAGUAGCCGGCCUGAGAGGGUGAACGGCCACAUUGGGACUGAGACACGGCCCAAACUCCUACGGGAGGCAGCAGUGGGGAAUAUUGCACAAUGGGGGAAACCCUGAUGCAGCAACGCCGCGUGAGUGAAGAAGUAUUUCGGUAUGUAAAGCUCUAUCAGCAGGAAAGAAAAUGACGGUACCUGACUAAGAAGCCCCGGCUAACUACGUGCCAGCAGCCGCGGUAAUACGUAGGGGGCAAGCGUUAUCCGGAUUUACUGGGUGUAAAGGGAGCGUAGACGGUUUUGCAAGUCUGAAGUGAAAGCCCGGGGCUUAACCCCGGGACUGCUUUGGAAACUGUAGAACUAGAGUGCAGGAGAGGUAAGUGGAAUUCCUAGUGUAGCGGUGAAAUGCGUAGAUAUUAGGAGGAACACCAGUGGCGAAGGCGGCUUACUGGACUGUAACUGACGUUGAGGCUCGAAAGCGUGGGGAGCAAACAGGAUUAGAUACCCUGGUAGUCCACGCCGUAAACGAUGAUUACUAGGUGUUGGUGGGUACGACCCAUCGGUGCC